rnacentral:misc_RNA from 1 species
GCGUAACAAUGGAUGGAAGCCAUAUCAUGCAUGAAAAUUGCUCACAUAUCUGCACAGCAAAAGCAUACUCCCACUCUCGUUUUACAAAAGAUGUAAGACCAUCUGAAGUUUGUGUAUCCUCAAGGUAAGAUAGUCCUUUCCUUGAAACUAACAACUGGAAAAGAAGGACAAGCAGGGAAGCCAAGCUAUUACGUUCUCCCAAUUUCCUUAACAGGUACACUAUAAUUGACAACCUCCGAUGCUCAGCCACAGCAGGCAACACAUUCAAAAAAAUCUGGAGCAAUUUCUCUGGGUUGUUUGUCUUUACCAGCCAACAGGGAAC